rnacentral:rRNA from 1 species
UGGGGAAUUUUGCACAAUGGGGGAAACCCUGAUGCAGCGACGCCGCGUGAUUUAGAAGGCCUUCGGGUUGUAAAAAUCUUUUUUAUGGGAUGAAAAUGACAGUACCAUAAGAAUAAGGUCCGGCUAAAUACGUGCCAGCAGCCGCGGUAAUACGUAUGGACCGAGCGUUGUCCGGAAUCAUUGGGCGUAAAGGGUACGUAGGCGGCCCAGUAAGUUAGAAGUGAAAUAAUAUAGCUCAACUAUAUAAAGCUUUUAAAACUGCUAGGCUUGAGAGAUGGAAGGGAAAGUUGAAUUCCUAGUGUAGCGGUGAAAUGCGCAGAUAUUAGGAAGAAUACCGGUGGCGAAGGCGACUUUCUGGUCAUCAUCUGACGCUGAGGUACGAAAGCGUGGGUAGCAAACAGG